CUUAAGGUGGCUCGGGCCUAUUCGGAGUUUCUAUCAGAAGUGCCGUAUUUUUGGUUAUUUUAUUCUUUAAAGAAAAUGAAUCAAAUUGGUCGAAAAAAAAAUAGGGGGUCACGGACCAUUUAAGCUCAAAAUUGUACUUUAAAACAGGUAUGUAAAAGGGACCAUUUUUCAAUGAAAUGAUAGGGAAAAUACAGGUGUUGACAUAUUUUUAUCGGAAUAUCAAAAAAACGUUCUAUGACAAUUUGUCCAAAACUGUAAUAUGAAAAGCUGGAAUAUAGCUUUAAAGAAUGAGCCAAUAAAAAACAUAGGUCACCGAUAAGGAAAAAAUAUAUUUUGCCUUGAAACCCAAAUUUUGGCGGGAAAAUGGUGAAAAUGGGUGAAAUGUCAUUUUGACCCUUUAAUAAAUACGGAUUAUAACGAAAAUAUUCUAUUAGUAACAUAACUACAAUGAUA
rnacentral:lncRNA from 1 species